rnacentral:tRNA from 1 species
AAGUAAGAAGCAAUAAUUGCAUUCAGUUUCGACCUGAAAGAUUGAUAUACUUUAUCCUUAUUUA